UACAGAGGUCCCAAGCGUUGUUCGGAUUCACUGGGCGUAAAGGGUGCGUAGGUGGCGGGGUAAGUCUGAUGUGAAAGCUUCGAGCUCAACUCGAAAAUGGCAUUGGAUACUAUUCUGCUAGAGGGUUGGAGGGGGGACUGGAAUUCUCGGUGUAGCAGUGAAAUGCGUAGAUAUCGAGAGGAACACCGGUGGCGAAGGCGAGUCCCUGGACAACACCUGAUACUGAGGCACGAAAGCUAGGGGAGCAAACAGG
rnacentral:rRNA from 1 species